GACGAACGCUGGCGGCGUGCUUAACACAUGCAAGUCGAGCGGAAAGGCCCUUUCGGGGGUACUCGAGCGGCGAACGGGUGAGUAACACGUGAGUAAUCUGCCCUGGACUCUGGGAUAGCCACCGGAAACGGUGAUUAAUACCGGAUACAACCACUAUCCGCAUGGGUUGGUGGUGGAAAGUUUUUUCGGUCCAGGAUGUGCUCGCGGCCUAUCAGCUUGUUGGUGAGGUAAUGGCUCACCAAGGCUUUGACGGGUAGCCGGCCGGAGAGGGUGACCGGUCACACUGGGACUGAGACACGGCCCAGACUCCUACGGGAGGCAGCAGUGGGGAAUAUUGGACAAUGGGCGGAAGCCUGAUCCAGCAACGCCGCGUGAGGGAUGACGGCCUUCGGGUUGUAAACCUCUUUCAGUACCGACGAAGCGCAAGUGACGGUAGGUACAGAAGAAGGACCGGCCAACUACGUGCCAGCAGCCGCCGUAAUAC
rnacentral:rRNA from 1 species